AUUUGUCUGGUUAAUUCCGAUAACGAACGAGACCUUAACCUGCUAACUAGAUACUUUUAUUCUAUAAAUGCUAUCUUCUUAGAGGGACUAUGUAAUUCAAAUACAUGGAAGUUUGAGGCAAUAACAGGUCAGUGAUGCCCUUAUAUGUCCUGGGCUGCACGCGUGCUACACUGAUGCAUACAACAAGUGCCUAACCAGACAUGGUACGGCAAUCUCGAAUAUGCAUCGUGAUGGGGAUAGAUCUUUGCAAUUAUAGAUCUUGAACGAGGAAUUCCUAGUAAGUGCAAGUCAUCAUCUUGCAUUGAUUAUGUCCCUGCCCUUUGUACACACCGCCCGUCGCUCCUACCGAUACCGGGUGAUCCGGUGAACCUUUUGGACUCAUUUGGGAAAGAUAAGUAAACCAUAUCACCUAGAGGAAGGAGAAGUCGUAACAAGGUUUCCGUAGGUGAACCUGCRGAAGGAUCA
rnacentral:rRNA from 1 species